GACGAACGCUGGCGGCGUGCCUAACACAUGCAAGUCGAGCGAGUGAAUCUCCUUCGGGAGUGAAGCUAGCGGCGGACGGGUGAGUAACACGUGGGCAACCUGCCUCAUAGAGGGGAAUAGCCUUUCGAAAGGAAGAUUAAUACCGCAUAAGAUUGUAGCUUCGCAUGAAGUAGCAAUUAAAGGAGCAAUCCGCUAUGAGAUGGGCCCGCGGCGCAUUAGCGAGUUGGUGAGGUAACGGCUGACCAAGGCGACGAUGCGUAGCCGACCUGAGAGGGGGAUCGGCCACAUUGGAACUGAGCCACGGUCCAGACUCCUACGGGAGGCAGCAGUGGGGAAUAUUGCACAAUGGGGGAAACCCUGAUGCAGCAACGCCGCGUGAGUGAUGAAGGUCUUCGGAUUGUAAAGCUCUGUCUUUAGGGACGAUAAUGACGGUACCUAAGGAGGAAGCCACGGCUAACUACGUGCCAGCAGCCGCGGUAAAAC
rnacentral:rRNA from 1 species